rnacentral:rRNA from 2 species
GACGAACCGUGCGAACGUUGUUCGGAAUCACUGGGCUUAAAGGGCGCGUAGGCGGGCUGCCAAGUCUGGGGUGAAAUCCUCCGGCUCAACCGGAGAACGGCCUCGGAUACUGGCGGUCUCGAGGGAGGUAGGGGCGUGCGGAACUAAGGGUGGAGCGGUGAAAUGCGUUGAUAUCCUUAGGAACUCCGGUGGCGAAGGCGGCACGCUGGACCUUUUCUGACGCUGAGGCGCGAAAGCCAGGGGAGCAAACGGG